UACGGAGGGGGCUAGCGUUGUUCGGAAUUACUGGGCGUAAAGGGUGCGUAGGCGGCCCUGCAAGUCGGACGUGAAAGGCCUGGGCUCAACCCGGGAACUGCGUUCGAGACUGCGGGGCUGGAGUCCGGGAGAGGUGAGCGGAAUUCCCAGUGUAGAGGUGAAAUUCGUAGAUAUUGGGAAGAACACCGGUGGCGAAGGCGGCUCACUGGACCGGCACUGACGCUGAGGCACGACAGCGUGGGGAGCAAACAGG
rnacentral:rRNA from 1 species